ensembl:lincRNA
NNNNNNNNNNNNNNNNNNNNNNNNNNNNNNNNNNNNNNNNNNNNNNNNNNNNNNNNNNNNNNNNNGGGAGUCGCGGGGCGCGGUGGUGGCAGCCGCUGUGCAGGCGAGUAGCGGGCGCCGGGGCGGGAGCGGCGGCGGGGCAGCGGGGCUUGGGGCCGGCGGGCGCUUUCCUCCCUCUGCGGUGAGAGUCCGCGCAGCCCUCUGCUUUGCUUCCCAGUUUCCUUCUGACCAGAACACCUGUUUCUGGGGGAAAAAACCUCAGAACAGAAGCAGGCGGCCGAGACGUCCUGCGCGAGCCUCAGCCGGACCCGCGGAACCCAUGCUGACGCUUGCGGUUUGGGUUUUUGUGUUGGCCGGCGUCUUGGCCAGAAGCGGGUUUGGGUAAGAGCACGUCGGACCGGCCGCUGUGAGCCGGCUGUCCGCCGUGAACGGAAGAGGGGAAAGGACUCUGUCAGGGCAGGAGAGGAGGCCCGUGAGCGCUCGGAAGAGCGCGUUGGCCGGACACGGAGCCGAGUAACUGCCUUUUCUGUCUCCCUGACCCCGGCCCGCCUCGCUCGCGCGUCCGCUGUGCCGAACCUGAAGUCACGCUUGGGCGGCGGAGUCGCGGGCACCUGGUCUGUGGUCAUUUGCUCCUCGCGCUGCUUUUAUCUCUUUAACAAGGACCUGCUCCUGAACCUCUUCGUCCUUUAACACCCCCUCGCCCAGACGUGCCCUGCGAGGUCCCAGCCGUCCCUUUAUUCAAGAACGAAACAAAAAGCAGCACUCUGUUUGAAUGGAAGCCUUGCUCCGCAGCGUCAGGCUCCACUCGCGUUUCCUCCUGCGCCCUCUCCUCGCGGGCUGCCUCCACCCCUGUGCAGGGAUCCCUCCUGAGUGCUUCUGCAGUGCCCCCUCUCCUGGAUGGAGCACCAGCGCGGUGACUGUCGCCUUAGCCUGGCUUCACAUCCCUGAAACCCAGAGGUCUUGGUGCAGAGACACUGCAGUGAUUUUCACAGACUCAUCACAGACAAGUCUGAGCUGGGACGCGGAGCUGCAGAGGACAUACAGUGGCUCAGCAUAAACGGCCAAUGUGGGGACAUUGCCUCGGUGCAGGUCCAGAAACCCCAAGUCACAAUUCACAGUGGAGUCCAGCUCCUUCCGACUUCAGGUAAAGUCUGUGGGCCCACUACGGGGAUGGGGCUGGCCCAGGUAGGGUGUGGGAGAAGCAGUGGCCACAGGGGCCCCCCCGGCAGCGGGUGCCUGUAUCCCUGCGUCUCCUCUUGCAUGUAGCCUGGCCUGCCACCUGCUGCCGGGCUGUCCCAGAACGUCCCAGUUACGUGACUGUCCUGCUGUACUUUCGGGAAGGUCCAAAGGGCAAGCAGGAAAUUUCAGAAAGCUGCCACACCCUUGACAGUGAAACCAGAGCGUCUGAAAAUGGACUUCGUUAAGCCAGGGACAGACAGGAAUGAACUAGCAGCAGAGAAUGGAUGUUGUCCUUGAACCCGAGGUUUCUUGAGAGUUGCCUCCUGAGUGGAGAGAUGCUUUUGAUUUUUGAACUUUCCACAGCUGCCUAAGAACAGUAUUCUUUUUUAAAAAGAAAAAAAUCUAUUUAUUUAACAGACAGAGAUUACAAGUAGGCAGAGAGACAGGCAGAGAGAGAAGAGGAAGCAGGCUCUCCACGGAGCAGAGAGUCCAAUGUGGGGCUCAAUCCCAGGACCCUGGGACCAGGACCUGAGCCAAAGGCAGAGGCUUUAACCCACUGAGCCACCCAGGUGCCCCAAG